GGGCUGUUAGUGAUAACGGGAACACACCAGUUUUGCAUUCUGGAAAAAUGAGUUCGAAUCUCAUACGGUCCACCU
rnacentral:tRNA from 1 species